UUCCUGUUGAUUUGACUUGAAUAUUAUUGAUACUAAUUUUUUGAAGAGAAAGCAUUGAUUUUGAUUUCAUUAUCCAUUAAUUUUUUACCUUGCAAUUUGUACUUUUGGAAUCUUGCUUUAAAAGUUGUUCCCUAUACCUAGAAUGUGAAAGUUUUCUCCUUGAACAUUUCUGCUUAUAUUUUACUUUUGAUAUUUAGGUCUUUAAUAUAUCUGGAUUUUACUUUUUAUAUAUGAUGGUAGAGAUCCAGCUUUUAUUUUUCUUCCAUAUAAAAAUCCAGUUAUCCCAAUAUUAUCUACUAAAUAACCGAUCCUUUUCUCACUGAUAUGUGGUGUCACCUUUAUCAUAUUUCAGUUCCCAUGUAUACCUCACUUGGUUCUGCAUUUCCUUGCUGUUUUUCUUAAUGCCAUAUUGUUUUUGUCGGUUGGUCUUUGUGUUAUAUCUGGUUAGUAGGUUGAGUUCCUGCUCUAGGAUUUUAUUGUUAUUAUAUUUUGUGUGCUUACUCUUUCCUAUGAAUUCUUAGAUUGUUUGAGGUCUUCAAAAAAUACACACACACAGACAUACACACAACUAGAGUUUUCCUUGAGAUUGCAUUAGAUUUAUAGAUUAACGUGGGGAAAAUGGACUUUUCUAAUAUUAUUGUCUUAUCUAUGAGCCUGGUAUAUCUCUGUAUUUUUUUUUUUUUUUUUCAGAUCUUCUUUUAUGUCCUUUAACACUGGUUUAAAUUAUUCUCUGUAAGUCCUAUCCUUUUUUGUUGAGUUAAUUGUGUUUUUAAGCUAUUGUGACAAGCAUUUUAUUUUAUAUUUUUCAAAUUGGGCAUAAAGGAGCAUUAUUAAGUCUGUCCCCUGAAUAUGUUGUUAUAGAAAAUUUCAAGCUUACAACAAAGUUUAAAAUUUUUUUCAAUGAACACUCAAAUAUCUCUACCCCUACGUCCUUCAAUUUACACUUUACUAUACUUAGUCUAUCACCUGUCUGUCUCUCCACCAAUCUGUCUUAAAUUUUUACUCAUUUGAAGGUAAGAUAUAUUAAUACAUUUCUCCCCCAAAGACUUUGGUAUGCAUAUCAUUAACUAGAGCUCAUUAUUUAUUGACAGAUUUCUUUCUUCUGAGAUAAAUUGUUAUACAGCAAAAUGUACAAAUCUUAAAACAUUCCAUUUGAAGAAUAAAUGCAUGCAUUUGUGCAAAAAUUAAACCCUUAGAAAACAUUACCAUUACCUCAGAAAAUUCUCGAAUGUUCCUUGCAAGGCCCUUCCCUCCCUGAGUCUCCACCCAAAAAGAGAAGGAGAGAGAUAAGAUGGAAAUAAAACAAUGAACAGAGAAGAAAUGACUAGAAACAAGAUGGAGAUUUAUAAGUGAUAAAAAGGGGCAUUAUAAGCAAUAUAGAUUAAUAUAUCUUAAAAUGCUGCUGCUGCAGCUCUUUACUUUUUUUUUUUUAAGUCAGGAAAUGAAUAAAAUAUUUUGCUUCCCCUCUUCCUUCCUAGUUUUCUUUAGUGGUUCUCAAAAAUGGAAAGAUCUUUUGUUGGACUACUUCCAGCCUUUUAUUUGAAAGGUUUACCAUAGGAGGGGAAGAUAACAGGAAUGUGAGAGAGAGAGAG